ACAUCUGGCCUCAAAUCAGGUAGGACUACCCGCUGAACUUAAGCAUAUCAAUAAGCGGAGGAAAAGAAACUAACAAGGAUUCCCCUAGUAACGGCGAGUGAAGCGGGAAGAGCUCAAAUUUGAAAUCUGGUAGCCUUCGGUUGCCCGAGUUGUAAUCUAGAGAAGUGUUUUCCGUGCCGGCCCAUGUACAAGUCCCUUGGAACAGGGCGUCAUAGAGGGUGAGAAUCCCGUCCUUGACAUGGACCCCCGGUGCUUUGUGAUACACUUUCAACGAGUCGAGUUGUUUGGGAAUGCAGCUCAAAAUGGGUGGUGAAUUCCAUCUAAAGCUAAAUAUUGGCGAGAGACCGAUAGCGAACAAGUACCGUGAGGGAAAGAUGAAAAGCACUUUGGAAAGAGAGUUAAACAGUACGUGAAAUUGUUGAAAGGGAAACGAUUGAAGUCAGUCAUGCUCUUAGGAUUCAGCCGUUCUGCGGUGUAUUUCCUUUGAGUGGGGUCAACAUCAGUUUUGAUCGAUGGAUAAAGGCACGAGGAAGGUAGCACUCUCGGGUGAACUUAUAGCCUCGCGUCAUAUACAUUGAUUGGGACUGAGGAACGCAGCAUGCCUUUAUGGCCGGGAUUCGUCCACGUACA
rnacentral:sRNA from 1 species